rnacentral:rRNA from 1 species
CACGUAGGGCGCAAGCGUUGUCCGGAAUUAUUGGGCGUAAAGCGCACGUAGGCGGCUUAGUAAGUUGGAUGUGAAAUCCCUCGGCUUAACCAAGGAAGUGCAUCCAAAACUACUGAGCUUGAGUACUAAAGAGGAUCGCGGAAUUCCCGGUGUAGAGGUGAAAUUCGUAGAUAUCGGGAGGAACACCAGUGGCGAAGGCGGCGAUCUGGGUAGAUACUGACGCUGAGGUGCGAAAGCGUGGGGAGCAAACAGG